AGCGAACAGGAUUAGAUACCCUGGUAGUCCACGCCGUAAACGAUGAGUGCUAGGUGUUAGGCCCUUUCCGGGGCUUAGUGCCGGAGCUAACGCAAUAAGCACUCCGCCUGGGGAGUACGACCGCAAGGUUGAAACUCAAAGGAAUUGACGGGGGCCCGCACAAGCGGUGGAGCAUGUGGUUUAAUUCGAAGCAACGCGAAGAACCUUACCAGGUCUUGACAUCCCGAUGCUAUUCUUAGAGAUAGGAAGUUACUUCGGUACAUCGGAGACAGGUGGUGCAUGGUUGUCGUCAGCUCGUGUCGUGAGAUGUUGGGUUAAGUCCCGCAACGAGCGCAACCCUUAUUGUUAGUUGCCAUCAUUAAGUUGGGCACUCUAGCGAGACUGCCGGUAAUAAACCGGAGGAAGGUGGGGAUGACGUCAAAUCAUCAUGCCCCUUAUGACCUGGGCUACACACGUGCUACAAUGGUCGGUACAACGAGUUGCGAGCCGGUGACGGCAAGCUAAUCUCUGAAAGCCGAUCUCAGUUCGGAUUGGAGGCUGCAACUCGCCUCCAUGAAGUCGGAAUCGCUAGUAAUCGCGGAUCAGCACGCCGCGGUGAAUACGUUCCCGGGCCUUGUACACACCGCCCGUCACACCACGAGAGUUUGUAACACCCGAAGUCGGUGAGGUAACCUUUUAGGGGCCAGCCGCCUAAGGUGGGAUGGAUGAUUGGGGUGAAGUCGUAACAAGGUAGCCGUAUCGGAAGGUGCGGCUG
rnacentral:rRNA from 1 species